rnacentral:rRNA from 1 species
GAGUCGGGGGGCGGCUUACACAUGCAGUCGAGCGGAACGAUACCAGCUUGCUGGUAGGCGUCGAGCGGCGGACGGGUGAGUAAUACUUAGGAAUCUACCUAGUAGUGGGGGAUAGCUCGGGGAAACUCGAAUUAAUACCGCAUACGACCUACGGGAGAAAGGGGGCAGUUUACUGCUCUCGCUAUUAGAUGAGCCUAAGUCGGAUUAGCUAGAUGGUGGGGUAGAGGCCUACCAUGGCGACGAUCUGUAGCUGGUCUGAGAGGAUGAUCAGCCACACUGGGACUGAGACACGGCCCAGACUCCUACGGGAGGCAGCAGUGGGGAAUAUUGGACAAUGGGGGAAACCCUGAUCCAGCCAUGCCGCGUGUGUGAAGAAGGCCUUUUGGUUGUAAAGCACUUUAAGCAGUGAAGAAGACUCCUCGGCUAAUACCCGUGGACGAUGACAUUAGCUGCAGAAUAAGCACCGGCUAACUCUGUGCCAGCAGCCGCGGUAAUACAGAGGGUGCAAGCGUUAAUCGGAAUUACUGGGGGUAAAGCGAGCGUAGGUGGCUUGAUAAGUCAGAUGUGAAAUCCCCGGGCUUAACCUGGGAACUGCAUCUGAAACUGUUAGGCUAGAGUAGGUGAGAGGAAGGUAGAAUUCCAGGUGUAGCGGUGAAAUGCGUAGAGAUCUGGAGGAAUACCGAUGGCGAAGGCAGCCUUCUGGCAUCAUACUGACACUGAGGCUCGAGAGCGUGGGUAGCAAACAGGAUUAGAUACCCUGUAGUCCACGCCGUAAACGAUGUCUACUAGUCGUUGGGUCCCUUGAGGACUUAGUGACGCAGCUAACGCAAUAAGUAGACCGCCUGGGGAGUACGGCCGCAAGGUUAAAACUCAAUGAAUUGACGGGGGCCCGCACAAGCGGUGAGCAUGUGUUUAUUCGAUGCGACGCGAGACUUACCUGUCUUGACAUAUCUAGAAUCCUGCAGAGAUGCGGGAGUGCCUUCGGGAAUUAGAAUACA